AAUACUAUAAACAUCACAGAGGUGGGUGAGCUGUUUGUGGACAGUUUUAGGGACACAAGACAAAACAUACUCACCAGAUAAGAUCAGACUGAUUAUGAAUAUACUUCUUUAACAGAGAACACAAGUGCAGAGAUGGUCUGCACUUAUAUAGCACUUUUAACCAAAGCGCUUUACACUGUGUCUCAUUCACCCAUUCACACACUCUCACACACCAACGGUAGCAGAGCUGCCAUGCAAGGCGCGUACUUGCCACCAGGAGCAACUUGGGGUUCAAGUACAAUUCGGCAUGUGGAGUCAUGUGGGCUGGGAGUCAAACCGCCAACCCUACGAUUAGUAGACAACCGGCUCUACCACCUGAGACACAGCUGCCCCAUGAUAACGUGAGGAAUGGUUCCUGUGGACAAAGGCUGUUAUGGUGAGUGAUUUUUUAUUUAUUUUUUUAAUUUAAAUGAUAGAUUGUAAACUCAUUCAAUGUAUAUUUAAAGGUCAGACAUAGCUUUCAGUGUUAAAACUAGUUUGGGCAGAGUUUGAAGCAUUUCUCAAGAGAUUCAAAAGAGGACAGCAAAAGAAGCACUGAAGGAAGACUGAAAAAUUGCAGCUUUGAACAUUGGAAUUUCUCAAGAUUUCUGAAGAAACGUGAGCCUGUCACAGCUACAUCACGAUGUACCAGAGUUUGAAGCAAGGCAGCAUCAACAGCAAUGCACAGAGCAGAAAACAGUUAUCAAAAGUGACAUGAAUGACAUCACAUGAAAAAUAAUCCAUGGUAAGUCUUAUAUCAUGUUUCACAGAGUGGAGAUUAAUACACAGUAAUUAUAAAGUAACUAUGGUGUUGCAGUUACAUUCAUAUUACUUAUGGUGUAAUACUGAUUUGUUACAAACCAAUUCUCUACGAGAGAUAAUGCAACAUUUAGUUCUGCUCCACGAAUUUGAUCUGAAUGAAUGGAAUGAAAUUGUGUUCCAAGAGUGUUGAUAUUUAGUAUAAAAGCACUGGUACAGUUCACUGCUUGGGUCAUUCUGCUGGUCUGUGUUUGCUAUGUAAGGUAUAACAACACAGUAAAGAUACAACAGCUUGCGGUUAGCAAUUGAUGAUUCAGUCUAGUAAAAAUCUGCAGUGCUGGAGGAUAUGCCUGCAAAUAAUAAUGCAUUAUGUUAGUCCUGAUUUGUGAAUUAUGACGACAUAGUCUUUGACUACAAAGACCACACAUAUUAUUCUCAUGGUCUUUCUUUUCUAAAGCAUAUCAUGUCAAAAGCUAUCCACUAAGAGGGAUAAAAUCAGCUUCACAUUGACUAGACCGAUUUGUGAAAAUUUUCACACUCCUGUUUUUGUCUGUCAGUCAUGUUUUUAGUCCAUCACUCAUUCAUUGGUGAGCCUGUGUGCUAUCAGGGAAGCAAUUUCCAAUAAAUAUAUUAUAUAAUUCAAAACAUUAUAAUUGAUAAUAAUUUGUGGGAUGAUUGUUUCAAUUUCAUUUCUCACACCUCCAGGGUCGGGGUUUCGAUUCCCACCGUGGCCCUGUGUGUGCGGAGUUUGCAUGUUCUCCCCAUGCUGCGGGGGUUAAAUCGGGGUACUCCGGUUUCCUCCCCCAGUCAAAAGACAUGCAUGGUAGUCUGAUUGGCGUGUCCAAAGUGUCCGUAGUGUAUGAAUGGGUGUGUGAGUGUGUAUGUGAUUGUGCCCUGUGAUGGAUUGGCACCCUGUCCAGGGUGUACCCCGCCUUGUGCCUGAUGCUCCCUGGGAUAGGCUCCAGGUUCCCCGUGACCCUGAAAAGGAUAAGCGGUAUAGAAGAUGGAUGGAUGGAUGGAUAACAAACAAAAAUGUGGUCAGAAGAAAGAACACUUGGAAUGUGUUAAAAUUUUUAGAAUAGAAAGAAUAAAAGAUAUAUAGACAUUAAAAAGCAUCACAGGUCUAACGAAAAUGCACACUGUCAAGGACUGUUGGCAUUUUCUGCUUUCCUCUACCUCUCUCAGGGUCAGGUCUGUGCAUUUGGUACACGUCCAUAGUGUGCAUGCAUCACACUGCACCUGAGUGACAUCAAUUCAAUUUCAGAUUGAUUCUUGACAGCAGAAACCUGUCAUUCUAACAGUUCUAUUAUAUAACAGUAUAGAGAUACUGUGUGAGUAUACACACAGUCUACACUAUAAAUAUUCACAAAGUGGAUGCCAAAAGUGCCCUAAUAUCCCAUAAAAAUCCUUCAGACAACUGUCUGACAUAAUUAAUAUAGAUAUGUGAAUAACAUAACACAAGUGUUACAUAUCUUCUUACAUGUGAACAUUUUCAUUACAUUUAUUUAUGUUUUCUUAAUAUGUAAUGAAAUUGAAACUGUCAUGCCACAAAACAUUAUAAUUUAUUAUGUUUUGCAUGAUAAUAUAUAUUUAUUGGCCUCCCACAAAACAUUCUCAACUCAAAAUGAACCUAAGGUUAACCGAUAAAAAUGAAUUAAUGUUUUAGUGCUUGGUCCUCUCACUGAAAUACCAUAUUACUUCAUAUGGCUGUGAGUUACUGAUCAGAAGGUCAGGGGUUCAAGCCCUGGCGCUGCCAGGCUGCCACUGGUGGGCCCUUGAGCAAGGCCCUUAACCCUCUCUGCUCCAGGGGCGCUGUGUCAUGGCUGACCCUGCACUCUGACCCCAGCUUCCUGACAGGCUCGGGUAUGCGAAGAAAAUAAUUUCACUGUGCUGUAAUGUAUAUGUGAUUAAUAAAUACUCAUUAUAUCUUUGAUUCGUCCAUCCAAAAGACCUGGUCUUUGCCUAUAUGCUCAUUAGCAAACUGUAGCCUUACAAAGGCUGCUCCUGGCAUGCCUCUCAUGCAGGUCAAAUCUCUUUCUGGUUGUAGAAGCAUGCACUUUGACACCAACAGUUGCAAGACUUACUAGCACAUCCUGUGAUUACAUUUUGUGGUUCUUGGAGACUUCUUUUUGAAUCAGACGGUCUGCUUUUGGGCUGAAUUUGCUGGGACGGCCAGUCCUGGACAAAUUGGCAAUCAUUUGAAAUCUGUGUCAUUUGUAGAUGAUUUUCCUUACAGUGGAAUGAUGCAUUUCAAAUAAUUUGCAGAUCUUUUUAAAUCCCCUGCCAGACGUUGGCUAUAGGCAUCUACAACCUUUUUUUUCCUGAAGGCUUUAUAAAAAUCUUUGGAUCUUUAGAUUUGAGAGAGGUAUUAAAUAGAUAUAAUAAUGCAUUCCUUAAGCAGGUUCUAAUCACUUCUUGAGCACCUGAUUCAAAUUAAAUGGAUUUGAAGGUGUGAUAAAUUUAAGUUGUACUUAAUUUUUUUUAUGUGACUGAUCUGUUUUUUUUUUUUUUGUGUUCAUUUAAAUUCUGAAAAUUACUACAGAAUGUCAAUUUUAUGUGUCAUUUGUUAGAGUGUGUCACCCUUAUUAACAGGCACUGUUUAAAAGAAGAUCAAGUGUUUGCUUGUCCAAAUAUGUUAAAAAUUCCAACAGUUUCCAUGGAGUGUACUUACUCACCUCUACUCCAAGAAAACCCCAUCUGCCAAUUCUGAUGUCAAGUAUUGGAGCUAUUAUACAACCCAUACAAAUAUCUCAGUGUUGCCAACUCUCGUGAGACAAAUAGACAACUGCAGCUUCAAAAACAAGCCCAAUAUUAUUAUAGCCUUUUACAGCCUCAAUGUAAACAGAUUACAUUGAAUGAGCCUGCAACAACCACUCGCAGUUUGAAAAGCAAAAGCAGAAUGUAUGUACGACAAGCUAGGGAAAACAGGCACUAUCCACUCAUCACUGAACACCUGCGAGCAGAAUAUGAUUGGAGAGAUGGAAAAGGAGAUUACAUUAGAACCAUAACUGCUAUUAGUAUAUGAGUAUGUUAUGCUUUUUUUUUUUUUUUUUUUGUUUUGUUGUUGUUGUUGUUUGGAAAUCUGUGAUUUUUUCAAGCAACAAUAAGCCCAAAGUUGCUUAUUAUAUGCAGACAUGGCAACUCUGAUAAGUGUACCUCAAACCAUCAGAUUCAUCCAUGCAGAGCAAAACCCACUAGAAAUAAAACCUCUGCAAGUAACCCGCAAUUUUAGGCUUCAAACUGAGAUGGCGAUAGAGAGGCACAACCGUAUAAACACAAAUGUGGUACACAAGAGGUUAGAUACAACAAAUAGCUAAUAUCCAUUGCUACUUGAAGUUUGGGGGGGUAAUACUCAGUUUUUCCAUCUGAAUCAGUGAUUUUUUUCUCUGUUUUUCUUUGAGAAGCUUCCAGCAGAAAUCACCUACUGUUUUUCAGUGAACUCAGUUGGGAUCUGAUAAUGAUACUCCAGCGAGAAAUGUCUGUGACUGUGUAUAUGGGUAUCACCCUUUUGCUUAAAAAAACUUUUUGACUGCUGCUACUCAUCAUAUUUAGCCAUUUUAGCUGUCAAUGAUCUCUAAUCGCUAAUGAAAUAUUUUUGCUGUUGGUCAUAUCACUUUGUCUACAUGUUUCCCCGGGGGUUUACUACAACAAAAAGAGAAUAAAGUUAACCAAAAGGAAUCAAAGGAAAGACUGAAUCCCUGCAGGAUUAUUACAUACACCACUAUAAUGACACAUAUGGUGGCCGGUAUGUUUAUGUCACAUUAACAUACAGAAUCUCACAAAAGUGAGCACACCCCUCACAUUUUUGUAAAUAUUUGAUUAUAUCUUUUCAUGUGACAACACUGAAGAAAUGACACUUUGCUACAAUGUAAAGUAGUGAGUGAACAGCUUGUGUAACAGUGUAAAUUUGCUGUCCCCUCAAAAUAACUCAACACACAGCCAUUAAUGUCUAAACCGCUGGCAACAAAAGUGAGUACACCCCUAAGUGGAAAUGUCCAAAUUGGGCCCAAAGUGUCAAUAUUUUGUGUGGCCACCAUUAUUUUCCAGCACUGCCUUAACCCUCUUGGGCAUAGCGUUCACCAGAGCUUCACAGG